CGCCGCGACGCCUUGCAAUCUGGCUCUCUCUCUGGCUUCUUCUUCUCUUCUCUCUGCGCGUCUCGCCGGUGGUUUUUGCGACAGGGAAUUCCUUUUGUUCUGACCGUGCCGAUUGGAUAUCGUAUCGUAUCGUAUUGUGCACACGUAGAGCUGGAAAGAUGGGUGGAGGCAAGUGGAAACCGGAUCUAAUUAGCUAUUCUCUGACGCGUAGGUCUGUCAAUCAGUAAGCCUGAGUGACGCGCUUUGGCCAUUUCGUUCUACACGGUCGUUGAGGUCUUCACGUAAGACUGAGAGUUCACGGAAGUUCUGAUGCUUUUGGUUCUGAUGACCUUGACUCGCGAGCUAAGAGGUUUAUCUCGGUAAACCCUGGUAUCUCGGAAUACCAGUCGGGUUCCAGAUCGAAGGAAUUAAAGACGGGGUUGACGGACGAGACGACGGAGGACUCGAAACGGGGUGGACAGAGACGAAGUUAGAGGAAUACUAGCCAAGAGAAAGGGAAAAGAGACUGUAACCGUACGCCCGUAUAAUUGAUUGAGUCUAAUGAGUUAAAGGGGAACUAUCCUCGAGAGGGUGCUGGAGAAAUUAAAGAGUUCUGAGUCGUGAAGGCCGCAACCUUCCGGUGACGGAGAAAGUGCGAAACUUGGCUGUCUACCCCGUCUCGCUCUUUCUCUGUCCCGUCGCAAGGCCGCUGAUUGCGAAUUAGUUAAAGGAGAUGCUUCAUUAGGAUCUCGAUUCUUGAAUUCUAACUGGAGGAAGAAUGAACUCUUCUCUCAGUAUUCUGAAUUAAUAGUGAAACUCUUUUAUUAAAUUCUUUACUUACACAAGAGCGCUUAAAAAAAAUUACAAGAUUUUGUUCGAAAUAAUGUUAUCCUGUAUGAAAUACAAAUCUUCACGUACGAUACAACAUCGUUGCGUAUAAAAUG